AUGGAGGAAAUGGAGGAAUCUCAACAGUCUCUGGCCAGUGGAAACCAGGAGGAAAAACAACUUCUGCAGCUGGGCUUCACUCGUCCUAAAGUGAGCGUCCUGCCGCCCUCCAGUGAAGAGAUUUCCACAAAGAAAACAGCAACACUGAUGUGUGUGCUCAACAAGGGUUUCCCCUCAGACUGGAGUGUGAUGUGGAAGGUGGACGGGAGCAGCAGAUCUCAGGACAGCAGUGUUGGGCUCCUGGAGAAGGACGGUCUGUACAGCUGGAGCAGCAGUCUGACUCUCUCUGAGCAGGAGUGGAGCUCAGUGCUCUCAGUGAGCUGUGAGGCCAAACACAAAGAUCCCAGUCAUACAGUCACUGGAGAAUUCAGGAGAGAUGAUGAGUGUUCACACUAG